CACAUCACGAAAAGUGGGGUUGUACUAGAAGUCGCUGCGCUAACUCGCAAGAGAGGGCAAGCGCCCAAGGUAUGACUCAUGAUUGGGGUG
rnacentral:rRNA from 1 species